AGGUAGAGGGGUCUUAGUCGGUAGGUCCGAGGUCUUCUUCCUCGGGAAUCCGACACUCCCCAGUCGUACGGACGGCUGGGAGUCUUUUAAAGAUUUCCCCUCUUCC
rfam:Agrilus planipennis Contig40670, whole genome shotgun sequence.